GCCCGGGUGGCGCAACUGGCAGACGCGGAGGGCUUAAACCCCUCUGGGGCUCCGGCCCCGUGCGGGUUCGAUCCCCGCCCCGGGCA
rnacentral:tRNA from 1 species